rnacentral:lncRNA from 1 species
GACAGCCCGUAAACUAAGCAGUCUCUUUGCAACUAAACUGAAGGGCUUGUGCACACAGAACCAGCUUUAAUUAUCUUUUUUUUUUUUUUCAAGUACUUUGGGAAAUAAUCAAAGAAAAAAAUCUAAAUCUAUGUUGCUUUUAAAUGGAUCCCUUGUUGAAGUGUGGGGGUUGACAGCUGUCCCAGAAAAUCAGGGCCACGGUGAAUUAGAAUGAUGUUGACUGAUGUUUGGCUUGGUGUUUCUUCCACGGUAUACCAACUUCCUCGGCAAAACAUAUCACAGGUUGUUGGAUUUCUUCUGGAAAAGGGAGCAGAUAUCACCCUUUGCAAUUACAGCAAUAAAACCGCAGUCCAUGUGGCUAAAAGUGAUGUUCAGAGGCAACUCCUGGCCAUGACUGGAAUCCAGGCUCCCCAAAUGCAACUUCUACGAAGUUCGUGGCAAGGCGAUCUUGAACAACUUCAGCACUUGCUGGUCAGUUAAACUGAUGUUUGCUUCUGCCUUUGGGUAGGUGAGUGGGUGGGGGUGGGGUGAGAAGGGCACAGACUACAUACAACUCCUUUAAAGAAAAAGAAGUUCUUUUCCAGAGCAGUCCAAGAAAGUUUCAGGCAGGAAAUCUGAGAGAAAAAAGGGUCAAAUGGGAGAGUGGGGUGGAAAACAAGAUAAUAAAAGAACAUAGCAGCAGCCUAUUUACA